rnacentral:rRNA from 1 species
ACCCUUUAAUGUUUGAUGUUCUAACGUGGACCCGUUACCCGGGUUGCGGACAGUGUCUGGUGGGUAGUUUGACUGGGGCGGUCUCCUCCUAAAGAGUAACGGAGGAGCACGAAGGUUGGCUAAUCCUGGUCGGACAUCAGGAGGUUAGUGCAAUGGCAUAAGCCAGCUUGACUGCGAGCGUGACGGCGCGAGCAGGUGCGAAAGCAGGUCAUAGUGAUCCGGUGGUUCUGAAUGGAAGGGCCAUCGCUCAACGGAUAAAAGGUACUCCGGGGAUAACAGGCUGAUACCGCCCAAGAGUUCAUAUCGACGGCGGUGUUUGGCACCUCGAUGUCGGCUCAUCACAUCCUGGGGCUGAAGUAGGUCCCAAGGGUAUGGCUGUUCGCCAUUUAAAGUGGUACGCGAGCUGGGUUUAGAACGUCGUGAGACAGUUCGGUCCCUAUCUGCCGUGGGCGCUGGAGAACUGAGGGGGGCUGCUCCUAGUACGAGAGGACCGGAGUGGACGCAUCACUGGUGUUCGGGUUGUCAUGCCAAUGGCACUGCCCGGUAGCUAAAUGCGGAAGAGAUAAGUGCUGAAAGCAUCUAAGCACGAAACUUGCCCCGAGAUGAGUUCUCCCUGAGACUU